AUUUAUAUAAUAUAAAAAGUAUAUGUGACUUCCAAUCACAAAGUUUAUAAUAUUAUAAUAUAAAUA
rnacentral:tRNA from 1 species